UGGCCAAGGAGGCAUCUGCCUCCCCCAGAGGGCAUAGGGUUGGGAAGGGGUGAGUGGAAUGGAGGUUCUAUUACCAGGACGGGCACUACGGCAUCUGCCCACCUGCCUGCUGCUGUCGGCUCGUUGUUAGAAAGUGUCUCGGCUGGGCGCGGUGGCUCAAGCCUGUAAUCACAGCACUUUGGGAGGCCGAAGUGGGCGGAUCAUGAGGUCAGGAAAUCGAGACCAUCCUGGCUAACACGGUGAAACCCUGUCUCUACUAAAAAUAUAAAAAAU
rnacentral:lncRNA from 1 species